AUGUUGUUGUUGCUGGAGCUGCAGAC
rnacentral:piRNA from 1 species